CAGGGCAGAUAGAUCGUGACCCGAUCAACAAUUUAACCUCCUGUCAGAUUUGCUCUUCAUGCUUUGGUUUUUGAGUUAUAAGCCAAAAACUGCAUUUUACCCCCAUGUUCUAUUUUUAGCCAUGGCGGCCAUCUUGGUUUGUUGGCCAAAUUACCGGACACAUUUUCUUAACUAGAUACCCCAAUGAUGAUUAUGGCUAAGUUUGGUUAAAUUUGGCCCAGUAGUUUCAGAGGAAAAGAUUUUUCUAAAAGAU
rnacentral:lncRNA from 1 species